rnacentral:lncRNA from 1 species
CCCCCUCUAAUUUUUCUAAUUUUUUUCUUUAUUUGAAUUUUUGGGACUUAUAUUGAAUUUUAAUGUGUAUCACAACCUGAAGGGAUUGGGAGGGAGGGUCAUUUCAUUUUUGGAUAUAGAACGAAUAGGUUCAGGAGAUGAGAGAAUUAAGGAUACGCACCAGAAAGACUAAUCCAAUGCAUAAUGAUGUGCCGAAAAAUAGAACAUUUUUGUUACCCCGACCAACCCUUAGGAGAAGCAAAUGCGACACGUAGACUAAUCAGUAAAAUUAAAGAAGUAGCAUUUAAUGCAAAAAUAGCCAAUAGGAAAGCAAUAGUCAUGUUUCUAAUCCUCCAAUCUACCAACAAAAGAAUUAUACCAUUUGAUCCCUUUAUCAACCAAAAAAUUGUACGCCUUAUAUACUGCUUUUGGGUAACCCUUCUCAACAACUAAGAGAUCCAUUCGCUGAACAAGGGGACUAGUUGAAGUACGGAUCCUCCCAAUAUUGGGAGGAUCCGUACUUCAAUUGAGCUAAUGACAAAUCAUUUCACCAUUUUAGUUGGAACUUUAGGCGGUUCUCGAAAAAAGAUAGCGAAAAAAAAUUAUUCCUAAGAGUUUGAGACUAAAAGGAAUGUAUAAACCAAUGCUUCCAUAGAUUCGAUCGUGGUUUACAAUUAUAGCUUCCAUACCUGUUUAUUUGGGAUCGUCUCCCGGAUAAAUAAAGAACAAGAGUCAAAGAAAAGGCAGUGAUUCAAAUCUAGAUUUAUCUGGUACCCCCCAUCUAAAAAUCACAAAAAGAAAAUAAAAAAGAAAAGUAACAAGUAACAAAACAUAUUGUAUCAGACUACUUGUCUUCUUGUAGUUGGAUCUCCAAGCUUUUGGAAUGCUCCGAAUUCCAGUUGAGCAUCUAAAUCUGGAUCAAUACCAGCAAAAAACAUCUCGAAACAAGGUUCUAGCUCCAUGCCAAAUGGAUUUAUUUUUUGUCCCAUAAUCCCCCACUACUAUAUAUAUCGUGCAACGUGACAUCUGUCUGUAUGUUUUUUUUAUUCAUUCGAUUUUUUUUUAAGCAUAACAUAAUAUAGCGUAUUUGUAUAAUUUAUAAUAUAAAAUAUUCUUCCUUUAAGCAUUCCUUAGCUCUGAUUUAUUGAAUUUCCUUUUAUCUAUUUCUUCAUCUUCAUCGAAACAUAUAUCUUUCAAUGCAAUAGUUAUAUGACAAGUAGAUCUUUUUGUAGGAUAACCCCAUCCUCGAGCCAGGGGCUUUCAUUUUUUCACAGUUGCGUGUUACAGAUAACACCAGCCACAAGGACCACUCUUGUGUUAUAACUAAUAUAAGAUAAAAUUAGGUAAUGCAAUAAAAUUAAAGAAGGGAGCGACGUUGAAUUAAGAAAAAUGAUUGAAGAAUUGUUAUUUUAUAGGUUAAUAGGUUAUUUAUCAUUGUCAUAUUCCCCAAAGUUUAUGUUUUGGACUGUUUAAAAUGUUCUAGUUAACGUAGCAAUGAUCCUGUCAGUUUUGGCUCAUUAUGUAUGGAUUCGAAGGGAACAACGAGACUUACAAAAGUAAAUGAGCACAUGGGGAUUUGGCAAAGUAAUCACGUCUAAAUAGACAAAAUAUAGAUUUAAGAGCUUUAGGAAAAUUGGAUAUUUGUUGUUUGUACCAUACUUCGUCACUCCCGAAACUACCGAGCACCGGUCAACUAUGUACCUUCAAGGAUCCACUAAAGAGUUAACGUGGAGACACCCUUGCCAAAGCACACGAGUUCCUCUCCAAUCAAGAGACCAAUAAAAAAACGACACAUGUCAACGUCAGAAUAAAGCUCCUAGAGACCCAGAUCAAUUGUGGACAGGAUCCGAAAACUUUCCUCAUCUAUAAAAGGAGACCGUUCUCCUGCAAUUAAUCUGUAAUGUCAUUAUUGUACUUAAACUCGUCAUUAGAACUCACUAAUGAUGAUUAUGCUUAAACCUAUGUAUUGUGUAAACUCUUCACUAUUAAUAAGAACUCAUAUACCCGCAUGGACGUAACCUAACUUAGGUUGAACCACGUACAUCUUGUGUUUGCUUCCCUACCUCUAUCUUUUUACAUAUUAUCCUCACAAGGUGACCAAAGCAACCUUGCGAAGGUCAUAAACUUGUCACUUAACGUUGUUCCAAAGUCUAACUGAUUUUGCGUAUCAACAUUUGGCACCGUUUGUGGGAACGACACUGAUUCCUACUCUUACCAGCUUUGUCAGACUGGUUUCUAUUUGAUAAAGCGUCGUUCUCCAACAUGGGGAGUGAAGGAAGGCACAACAUGCAGAAAAACACCAUUUGCAUGCCUAGUGUGAGGCAGCGAAUGAGGGAAAGGAACAAGCCUGUUCUUCAAACUAAAGUCCAAGAGGUUAGAACUCAGAAUAAAAGAAAAUGGUGAUAUGGAAUGAGAUCCUCCAAGAACAGUAUGUGAAGCUCUUCGAGAUGCUUCACAAAGCUAUACCGACUCAAUCUCAAGAGUCAUUGCCUUCAUGACAGCGGAUCAACACAUAGGUACCCACGCAAAGUUUCACAUGUCUUCUUAAUAAGGAAUGGCCUUCUACCCAAGAUAUUGAUCAACACGAGACUUCUCUCAACCCAGCUGCUUCAAACCAAAACAAGAUAAUUGGAAGACGACAUCUCCUUGCAACAGGAUUGGAAUGAUCAAAAGCUGGUUAUCGCGACUGUCAAGACCUCUUGAGGCAUCGUAAAAAAAAACCUAUCCAUAUAGACUCAAGGAUCAUUGACCCCAAUGGUCAUCGAAUGAAUCAAUCCCUUACCAUAACCAAGGUCAACUACUAACCUAAGGAAGAAACGACAAGACUUAGAGGGACAAGAAGGUGUUUGGGUCUCGAGGAACUUCUAACCGGAAUUUCCUUGAAGCCAAUAUGGUGAAUCCAAAAAAAAGUCACAUACUCUUGACCAAACUUCUCCACUUCCAAGAAAUGAUGGAAACUUACGAAGCAGGGUUCCAGUAGUGCCUGACUCCACUUAGGACCCCCUUAUCCUACAGUUUUUUGAGGAAGUGAACAGACUAAAGGCCAAACGCCAUGCCAAGGUACCUAACUUGACGAGGCCAGGCCCUCUGACAAGAAGGAUCUUUGGCACCCCUCUAAAAGGAGAAACAAAACAGAAGAUUGGUUUGCUAUCGUAAAUUGGGAGGGAAGAUCCAAAUGAGCAUAUCCAUCUCUUUGAAUCCACCAUGGUAUACCGAGGCAUAGUAAUGAAGAACGAUGUCUCAUUUUCCCCUUCAUUCUAUCUGUGGGAGCUCUCAAUUAGUAUUGUCGUCUUCAACCUGAUAUAAUAGAUUCUUUCACUAAUCUUAAGAGACUUUUUGUGGUGCAACGCAUCUUCUAGGCUGAUUGCUUACACUCCGCCAAACAUUUAUACACCAUUCUUCAGAAGUCAAACUAGUCAUUGUGUGAAUAUGCCCGUAGCUUCAGCCACGAGCAUUCUUUUUGAACUGUGGUAGAUUAUAAACAACACUCAGGGCCUUCAGAAUAGGUGUCAACAUACACUUUUUCCCUUCAGCAUGUGUUACAAUGUGCCUCGACAACUCGUCAUUAUUCUCACCCACUUGGUUAUGAAGCAACUCAACUUCGUAUCACCAACCAGGUGAUAAUUUUUUCCUUUGGCAACUUACCACCCUUUCCACCAACUAGGUAAUGAAGGAACUUACCUUUGUCCACUAACUAAAUGAUGAAAAGUACAACCAGUGCUCCACUCUUUUCAGUAACCAAGUAAUGAAGGAACUCACCUUAUAUCACCAUGCAGUAUGAAUCGUUAUUAACAUCUCUUUCAACUGUACCAGAAGGUCAAACAUUGUAGUACAUACAAGGAGACCGAAGACUCUCAUCAACUAUAAAAGGAGACCGUUCUCGUACAAUUAAUUCCUAAUAUCAUUAUUGCGCUUAAACUCGUCAUUAGGACUCACUAAUGAUGAUUAUGCUUAAACUUAGGUCUUGUGUAAAAUCUUCACUAUUAAUGAGGACUCCUCUACCCUCGUGGACGUAACCCAAUUUAAGGUGAACCACAUACAUCUUGUGUUGCUUUCCUACCUCUAUCUCUUUAAUUAUGAUCCUCAACAGGUAACCGGAGCAACCUCGCGAAGGUUACAAACUUGACACUUUACGUUGUUCCAAUGUCUCACUGAUUUUGUGCAUCAACAUUUGUAAAUAAUUUGCUACAAGCAAUUGAGCCCGUGCGAUUUGUUUUAAAACUGUGUUAAAUAGGUGGAAUAUAUUAAAAUCUAUUAGCAUCCUUCUGUUCAACAAAGAAUAAAAAAAAUUGACGUUUGUAAUAUAUAGCAUAAGUUUUGAAACUCUUUAAUUCUUCUAAGUAAAUUUGACAAAUACGUACAAUCCAAUCUUCGACCAAUUCAAGCGUAUGCUUUUUCUUUUCUUCAAUCAAAUUUGUCAUGUCACCCAAGGUCGUAUGCAAAGUUAGCUAAUUGAAAACAUUUGCGUUAAGUUGUGCAGAAAGUUAAGUACGCUUUAAUUGAAAAAAAAAUCACUAAUACAAUUAGGCAAGAAGGAGAAGGAGAUAAUCGUGAGGAGCUAGAAAUAUUUUGACUUCAACAAGAAGAUAUUGACAAGGUUUUACAUACGUGCCCGUAAGCUCCAAGUUGUGGUAUCAACUCCGAAAAAAAAAAAUGGUCCCGAAUAACAGUAUAGAAAUGUUUUAGUCCAUCUUAAACUUUUUUUUUUGUGACCUUGCUUAUUAUUGUACUUAUUAACAAUUACUACUAUGUCGAGGCGAGUUUCUUUACAACAGGACCAAGAAAAAUAAUAACUUAUUACAAUGUGGUAUUUAUUCCUGAACCCCAACUGGGACCGAAACUGUUUAUGACUAUAAAUAAGUUAUUCCUUUAUAUAGAGAUGUUUUACUUUAGCAUUCACAUGUCUUAUUAUUGAAUUAUUGAAUCUCAAAGAAUACUUACAUUAUUGAAAGGAAAUACAAAUGCAAAAGGAAUUGAAAUACAAAUACAUAAAAAGGAAAAUUAUCCACUUAAAUGUUUAUAAUCAACAAUAAAUUUCUUUUAAUUUCUUCAAUUCUUCUUAAGCAAAUUUUUGAACCAAUGUGCUGAGAGUUUUGGGUGUCUUUUCAGCCCAUCAUUAUAAUCCACGUAGUUUAAACCAAAUCGGACGGUGUAUCCAGAAUUCCAUUCAAAGUCGUCCAACAAUGUCCAUGGAAAGUAUCCCUUCACUUUCGCACCAUUUCUGCACACACAUACACCAAUGUUCAAAUGGAUUAGGUCAAUAUAAUGAUUAAAUAACAAUAACUUAAGAAGGCUAGGCAGUAUAUAACCUUAAUUAAUUUGUUAAUAACUACUUACUUGAUCGCCGCUUGAAGGUAACAUAGGUGACGGUAGUGGUAGUCAAUUCUACCGGUAUCAAGAAGAGCCUCUUCAAUUGAUAGUUCUGGAUUAUUCAACUCUGAUACACCUACGUACAUAUUAUUGCACAAAAAAUUAAAUUUAGUUUUUUCCUCUAAAAAUAUAAAAAAAACAUGCAGUUCCAGUUUACGCCAUUAUAAAUAUGUGAAACUUUUGCAAUUAAUCAAGGCUUAAAAGUACGUAUUACAUACCAUUCUCAGUAAUAUAAAUGAGUGGAUCAUUAUAUUUUUCCUUUGUGUAGAGCACAAGAUCGUGAAUUCCUUUUGGAUAUACAUAUAACCAAUCUAAAGCAGUCUGCAACACCAUUUCAAGAUAAUACGUAAAUGUUGGGGAAAAAAGCUAAUCCUCCAAAUGCAAAUAGCUCAAAAUGAUAAAUUUGAUGUAUACCUGUGGACCAAUAAGUACUCCAUUAAGCUCAGCUGCCACAAUAUUUACAAACAUUAGAAUACAAUUGGUGUAAAUAUUAGAAUAUAAUUAAUGUAAUUAAGAGGUUAAACUAGGUCAAGAAGAACAAAGAACUGAAGCUAUUCAAAGUAAGUUUCCUUUGGCACUCACUUGUAAGAUCAGCUUGAGGAUCUGUUACGAAGCUUGCCUGUAGUGAAUUGUUCUUAGGUGUACUAGUUGCGUAUCUAGCAGUAUAAUAAUUUAUUCCAAGAAAAUCAAAUGAUCCGUUUAGCAACUUGGAUUGUUCUUUUGUGAAUUUUGGCAAUCUUUUUCCAACAAUUGAUCGCAUGCUGUGUGGAUAGUCACCACUUGUUAAAGGGUCCAAAAACCUACAAAACAAGAAAAUUCCAAAUAUUAGCCUAAUUAUAGCAUUAUAGAUAAAUAGUACUGCUAGCUAGGUAGUAUCAAUGUUACAAGUCAUAAGUAUACAUGAUGUAAUUGGGUUUAUGUAUAAUUUAAUAAGACACUUGCCAUCCAAACAUAAAAUCCAAAGAUCGUAAGGCAGCAUCUUUAUCUUGCUUUGACUCCGAAGCAGGCUCAAACCAGUAUGACACCAAUGUUAUCCCUAUCAAGCCUUUCUGAGAUGCCUACACAAAAAUAUGAAUUUUGGUUGAAUAAAUAGGAGUUAUAGAAAAAGAUACAACCUUUAGAUUAUCUUACUACUGAGAGUAUUCCCUCUUGUAUUACAACUCAAUAAUAAAGAUUCAUAUAGAAUUCUCGAUUAGGAGCCAAUAAUCUAACCCAAAAAACAAAAUAAAAAAAAAUAAAAAAACAGUUAUUGAACCUGAUAUCUAUUCUUGUACAAUUCUACAGCUGCUCCAUGAGCAAGAAGAAUGUGGUGUGUCACCAAGUAUGGUUCAAUGGCUGAAUCUCCACCGGUGCAGUUUAGGUUUUGCCAAGAAGAGCAGCGUCCCGGUGCUAGAGUCCCAACAGCAUAACCCAUGCUACUAAAAGUAUAUGGCUCAUUUACCGUGAACCAGUGCUUGACUCGAUCACCAAAUUCCUUAUAACAAAGUUCUGCAUAGUCUUUAAAAUGAUCGCUGCAGAUACAAAUUUAUGUUAAGUAUAUCAGUACGUAUUUUAUCAAAUUAUCAACGAGAAAAUAAAUUUUGUUCACUUACACAAUACGAGGGCUUAAGAAACCACCAUAUUCAUCUUCUAAAGCUUGGGGAACAUCCCAAUGAAAGAGUGUUACAAACGGCUUUAAACCUAUAAUACAUGAUCAGUAAAAUCAAAUUAAAAGUCUGAUUGAAUGAUGUUCUAAAAAUUCAUGUAAUAAUUGUUUAAGGUAGGAUAAUUAACCAUUGCGUAGGAGUUCAUUGAUGAGAUUGUUGUAAUAAUCAAUUCCUUUCCUGUUAACGCCACCACUUAACGUUCCAUCUAAUUAGAACAAAAAUAACAAGAAAAAAAAGGGUUACCCAGUAGAUAACUCGAUCACAUUACUUUAGUUAAUAGUAUAUAAAGAGAAUAAUUUUCUUGUAGGAAAAAUAAUUCUUAUGCACAAUAUUGUCAUUGGUCCCAACCAAAAAUGAGGACGUCGAGCAACUUACUUGGUAAUAAUCUGGACCAUGAAAUAGAUAAUCUGUAAGCAUCCAAAUUCAUAUCCUUCAUAAUCCCCACAUCUUCCUAGAAUGACAAAAGUUUAAAAUUAAAUAUUGAGGAUCUCAUUAUAUAUUGUUCUUUUUUUUUUUUUUUUUUUGUAAAGGCUCCAAUUUAUAAUGUUAACAUGUGCCCUUCAAGUAUAAAGGGUCGAGAGACAAAGUUAUGAGGUUUUAGACCUUAUAGCGGUGAUAUUGAUCUAUAGCGACAUCUCCGUUACUGCCAUCAUCGAUUUUUUCUGCAAUUAUUAUUAAAAAACAUAAUGGUGAAAUCCAUAUCAUGUGCAAAGUACUUUAUAUGCGUGCGCACUGAUGAUGAAGUAUAUACAUAUAUUGUACAUAUCACAUGACCACGUACUGUUGGUCUCCCAACAAAGUGCAUGGCUGUUAGAGAGGUUGGAGUUUACUUGUCCUCACGAAGAAAAGAAUGAGGUGCUAUUUCUACUCCUUUGAAAUGAAGUAGCAAAAGUUUUCAUAUUACCAAUUGAUUAAAUCACAGACCUGGAUGUUUGUGGGUGAAGGUAUCCCAUAUGCUUGGUCCUCUUCCAUCUUCUUUUACUGCACCUUCAUACUGAAAUACACACACAUGCAUAUACGUAAGAGUACUACUACACACGCAAGGAAGAUGACAACAUUAUAAUUCAUGCAUGGAUGCUAGCUGCAUGUAUAAAAUACACCAAAAAUGUGGUAAAUAAAGACAGAAGAUAUAUAUAUACUGACCUGGUAAGAUGCAGAACCUGUGCCAAAUAUGAACCCUGGUUCAAAACUGCUGCGAUUGAGAAAUUCGCAAUGAACAGGUGGAUCUGUAUUAGUUGCUUUGCCAUUUGUCAAUGCAAAGCCAAUGAGUAGCAGCACACCAAAGAGCAAAGAUCGUGAAUAUUUCAUUGCCAUAACUUGGGAGUUUUGAUAUCGAUCGAGAUAAUUAAGUUAUCUCCUCCGGGAAUAUUGCAUGGGGUUUAUAUAGAGAAAGGGAGGAAGGGAUAUGGUGUCUACGUACUAGCUCAUGAGAAUAAUAAAGGGUUAAAAUUUGUAAACAAAAUUGGCUUUGAAAGUCCUAGUUUAAAGACCAAGUCAAGGUAUAUUUCAAAAAAAAACAAAAGACCAAGUCAUGGUGUGUAGUUUAAAAGAAAGCACGUUUCAUGCACCCAAAAGUUGCGUAUAUACGUACGUAAAACAAUGGAUGAUCCUUGCGUUCUACCUAUGAGGAAUGCACAUAUUCUACAAAUUUUAUAUUGUGAUCGUUCAGUUUCUUAAUCUUUAUUUCAAAAUCAUCUAAACAAAAAGAAUUAUUUGAAUCUGAGAUAGUUUAGUCAUUUAAAUAUAUGAACCCAAUCGACAGUGUUGAUACUAAGUAAAAGACUUAUAUUGAACUAUUCAUUUUAUUGAUAUAUUUGGAUCACUAAACAGUCUUCAAUUUGAAUAGUUUUUUGUAUAUAUGAUAUUCAAAUUAAGAUUAAAAAAUUAAUAACUCAUUCAAACAGUAGAAAACUAUUUGACUCGCAAAAAAGUAGAAAAUUUUGACCAGAAUUCUUUAUGUAAGUACAUAACCGAUAAAGAUGAAGAAUUUAAUCUUGAUCUUUUUCUUCUUGUUAGAGUUUUAGUAUUGAAUCGGUAAACCCAGUGGUUUUGUGAAAUUGUCCUUCCACUCUGAUUAAGAAGGCAUCGAGAUAGCUAGGUUCUCAAGUUGGCUAUUUUGCUCCUAAAGAUUGUGAAAGGAUUCCAUUGGGGUGGCUUUUUCGAAGGUUUGGACACCCUUCAAAGUAUAGUGGUUACACAUUCUUCUUGCUAGUACAAGAAUGAGAAUAGUAAAGGGUUAAAAUUUGUAAACAAAAUUGGCUUUGAAAGUCCUAGUUUAAAGUCCAAGUCAUGGUCUGUAAUUUAAAAGAAAGCACGUUUCAUGUACCCAAAAGUUGUUUACGUACGUAAAAGAAUGGAUAAUACUUGCGUUCCACCUAUGAGGAAUGCACAUAUUCUACAAAUUUUAUAUUGUGAUCGUUCAGUUUCAUAAUCUUUCCUUGCAGAUCAUCUAAACAAAAACAAUUAUAUGAAUAUGAGAUCGUUUAAUCAUUUAAAUAUAUGAACCCAAUCGACAGUGUAGACACUAAGUAAAAGAUUUAUAGCGAACUAUUCAUUUUAUUGAUACAUUUGGAUGACUAAACGGUCUUUAAUUUGAGUAGUUUUUUGUAUAUAUGAUAUUCAAAUUAAGAUUAAGAAAUUAAUAACUUAUACUACAAAAAUACAUUAUUUAUAAAAAAAAAAUAUUCCUUGAGUUGAAAAGUAAGAUAAUGUACACAACAAUUCGAUCGAUCUCAUCUUAAUUUGAAAUGAUCAAUCCUUGAGUUACCCUUGAGUUUUCCAGCAAAAGAAAAUGUUUUCUGUAUUCGGAAACAAAGAGUCAUUUAUCUGCAUGUUUAUAUUAUGUCUGUCCAACUGUUGAAGGGCAUAACUUUUGAAGUUGAAUAUGGACGAUUAGCUACAGAGACUUAUUCAAACUACAGAAAACUAUUUGACCCAACAAAAAAAGUAGAAAUUUAUGACCGUAAUUCUUUACGUAAGUACAUAAUCGAUAAAGAUGAAGAUUUUAAUCUUGAUCUUUUACUUCUUGAUAGAGCUUUAAUAUUGAAUCCGUGAACCCAAUGGUUUUGUGAAAUUGUUUUUCCACGCUAAUUAAGAAGGCAUCGAAAUAGCUAGGUUCUCAAAUUGGCUAUUUCGCUCCUAAAGAUUGUGAAAGGAUACCAUUAGGGUGGCUUCUUCUUGGUAGUACAAGAAAUUGAUUAGCUGUUUCAAGAGACUGGUUUUUUAUUAGCUUACAUCUAUUUAUUUUGAUUUAAUAUUUUUUUACAAUUCAAAAACACAAAAUUUUGACCCCCCUCUAAUUUUUCUAAUUUUUUUCUUUAUUUGAAUUUUCGGGACUUAUAUUGAAUUUUAAUGUGUGUCUCACAACCUGAAGGGAUUGGGAGGGAGGAUCAUUUCAUUUUUGGAUAUAGAACGAAUAGGUUCAGGAGAUGAGAGAAUUAAGGAUACCCACCAGAAACACUAAUCCAAUGCAUAAUGAUGUGCCGAAAAAUGGAACAUUUUUGUUACCCCACCAACCCUCAGGAGAAGCAAAU